UACGUAGGGUGCAAGCGUUGUCCGGAAUUAUUGGGCGUAAAGGGCUCGUAGGCGGUCCAUCGCGUCGGGAGUGAAAAGCUGGGGCUUAACCCCAGUCUUGCUUUCGAUACGGGUGGACUAGAGGUAGGCAGGGGAGAACGGAAUCUGGUGUAGCGGUGAAAUGCGCAGAUAUCAGGAGGAACACCGGUGGCGAAGGCGGGUCUCUGGACAGUUCCUGACACUGAGACACGAAGGCCAGGGGAGCAAACGGG
rnacentral:rRNA from 1 species